UAGACUUGACAUCUCCUGCAUUACUCUUAAUCGAGGAAGUCCCUUCGGGGACAGGAUGACAGGUGGUGCAUGGUUGUCGUCAGCUCGUGUCGUGAGAUGUUGGGUUAAGUCCCGCAACGAGCGCAACCCUUAUUGUUAGUUGCUACCAUUUAGUUGAGCACUCUAGCGAGACUGCCCGGGUUAACCGGGAGGAAGGUGGGGAUGACGUCAAAUCAUCAUGCCCCUUAUGUCUAGGGCUACACACGUGCUACAAUGGCAAGUACAACGAGAUGCAAUACCGUGAGGUGGAGCUAAACUAUAAAACUUGUCUCAGUUCGGAUUGUAGGCUGAAACUCGCCUACAUGAAGCUGGAGUUGCUAGUAAUCGCGAAUCAGCAUGUCGCGGUGAAUACGUUCCCGGGCC
rnacentral:rRNA from 1 species